CUAAUUUUACUCUAAAAAAAACACCUCAUAGAAAAUGAUUGUUCUAAUUUUACUCUAAAAGACACGUUAUAGGGAAGGAUUAUCCAAGUCUUACAUGAAGACUAUUUGCCUUGUACCAGUAGAUGUGGGACAACAUAAAUCAUUGAGAAAAUUAAUGAUACCUUCCUAAGGUUGGUCCUUGAGGGAAAGAAGCCCUAUCGUUAGAGGCUUAGAGCUUAGGAUCCAAACCCCGAUCCCUCCCAAUAGUUACUGUUUCCAGCAGAAGUAAACGGCUGUUGGCAAUUGCCAUCCAUGGUGCCUGACAGCUUCUGCCUUCCCCAGUGACGCAUAGCCCAGUCGUUUGAGACGCGGUGGUGAGACUCUAAUCAGCAUUACAGCAAAGCAAAUAUUAGUCAACCAUCACGGAACAUAUUAGGAUAAUAUGUUCACACUUCACACCAAACCGUAGUCAAUAAUUUACUGCAACCUUAUACAGCUGAUUGUGAAAGCCCUUCAUUUCUGGCGAGUAAAAUUUGCGUGUGGGCAAUCACUUGUCAUUGCAAACAAACACAAAUACAGAUUUCAAAUCAGAAGUGAAUUCAAUGGUUAGAAAAAAACCACGCCACUAGUAAAGUAUGCGCAGACGGUGACCCUCUGUAAAUCACACCUUUAAUAUUGUACAGGAAUCAAACACUUUGGAGACCUUCCUUCUAAUCAACGAGCAUAUCAUCCAUACAAACAUACAAACAAAUUAGGACAAAAGAGAACAAAGGGUGUCUUAUUGAGAGAGAAAAUGAAUUGUCAACUCCAUAUGCUGUAAUGGAAGUUCCAAAGACAGACAGAAUCAGCGAUGUUUAUAUUGUAGCAGAAAUUGGUUUUUUUUUUUUCU
rnacentral:misc_RNA from 1 species